UACGGGGGGGGGCAAGCGUUGUUCGGAAUUACUGGGCGUAAAGGGCGCGUAGGCGGCCUGCUAAGUCGGACGUGAAAUCCCUCGGCUCAACCGGGGAACUGCGUCCGAUACUGGUGGGCUCGAAUCCGGGAGAGGGAUGUGGAAUUCCAGGUGUAGCGGUGAAAUGCGUAGAUAUCUGGAGGAAUACCGGUGGCGAAGGCGGCAUCCUGGACCAUUACUGACGCUGAGGCGCGAAAGCUAGGGGAGCAAACGGG
rnacentral:rRNA from 1 species